rnacentral:misc_RNA from 1 species
AGAGAGAGAGAGAGAGAGAGAGAGAGGGCAUGGGCGUGUGUUUAAGACAUUUUUUAGAGAGAGAGAGCUGGGCGGGAUGCGAAAACCGUUUCGGGGGCUUAUCUGGAAAAGUGAAUUUUCCGUUUUAUUUUUCUUGCGUUUUCUUUCGCGAGAAAAUUCUAGGGAGGGAAUGAGAAAAGCCGAAAAGGGCGGGUUGGUCUUGCCCCGUUCCAACCAUUUUCCCUUCUUGCCGACGCGGGAC